AGUGAAAACAGCCGGUGGAAAAAACAAACUUAAUGAGCUUUGCGAAAUAUGUGUUUGCUUGCCCUUUCGAUGGCUGCUGUCAAGUACAAUAAACGACAACAGGUUGAAGACUAAGAAUCGGCAACCUUAACACUUAAGCAGCUGAAAUGAAAAUUGCAACAAAAACGAAAAAAAAAAUAAGAGAAAAAAAAGGAAAAACAAAAGACAAAUUGCACACCAGAAUGGAGACGAUGACUGUGGCUUUGAGGAUGACUAAUGCCCAUCUAAAAAACUGCAAAACUGAAACUCACCGAUGGAAACCAAGACACAAUGGGCAAACUAAAAAAAAAAUAAAAAAGAGCGCAACUCGAGGCAAAUUUCGAAUUAAAAUAAAGUCAUUGAGUGUGGUCGAGUGGCUCGGUGGUUGCGUGGUUCAGUGGUUCGGCAUUGGUGGAUUGCCGCGUGCACACAAUGUGCUGCACUGCAUCAAUGCAGCACUGCAGUUGCUGUGCAAAUGCUAACUGAAUUCCCGGGAAGAUGCCAUCUAAAUAUCACAGUAUUACACUAAAGGUUGCUAAGGGAUUUCAAAUUGUGAAUCAGUCACGAUAGAUGAUCUCGUACACUAAUUUCAGCAAUUGAAAAUCAAAUCGGUUUCCUAGAAGUCGCUAAUAAUGGAAAAUUCGAGCUUAGGAUAAAAUGCCAAUUUGAAAUAAUAAAUAUCGUUAAUUACUCUGGCAAUUAAACCAUUUAAACAAAUACUAGGAAAUAAAUAUCAUACAUUUUAGUUCAAGUUAUAUAUGUAAUACAUAAAACUCCUGAAUAAUAAAUGUACCUAAAUUUAGAUAACAUUAAUUGCAUAUUUAUUUGAACCAGCUAUUCCACAAAUAUUAAAAGGAAACUUGAGAAAUUAAAUGGAUCGUGUAGUAAAACACAUGAUUCCUUUACCGAACAUUGUAAUUAUCCCAUUAAAUGCAUCGAUCGGCGAUAUAACCUGAUUUUAAUGCGAGUACAGCUGAUAUAUAUCUACAUCCAGAAUGACCUCAGACGAGUCAAUGCUUCCUGAGAGCGAAAAUAUCCGUGAAAUAAAAAAAUAAUUAUUGCUCACAAAGGAACCUGUUCCGAGAUAAAAAUCUACCCAGGCACAAUCGUAAGAACCGGGGAAGCUGACAGAUCUGACGGGUUUCUAUGCAGAUGAUGUCUCGUUUCGAUAUCUGUUGGAACGUGUAAAUAAUUAAUUACACAAUAUUCCCGCAUUGAAGGCGAAAGAAAUAAAUGAAGACAAGAAUAUCUAAUCAAGCUGAAGUAUUUUAUUAUAUGUAGGAAUUACUUUUGUUUUAAGUUUUUGCCUUGGAAGUUUCUAAAUAAAUUGCCCUCAGUCACGAA
rnacentral:sRNA from 1 species